rnacentral:tRNA from 1 species
ACUUAAAAUCCUUUUUAUAGUACUUAAAUCAUUAAAGGAGUGAAU